CCCCUCUCAGGGUCGCACCUGGAGAGUUUCCAGUACUCUACUAGUCUCGACCACGGGAGAGAAAUUCAAGCAGAGGCCUACCCAUUCCAUUCCUAGCUUGGGCAGUGGCUAGCGAGUGGAAGGCAAUCUGCUCCAAGU